UACGUAGGGUGCAAGCGUUUGUCCGGAAUUAUUGGGCGUAAAGAGCUCGUAGGCGGCUUGUCGCGUCGGCUGUGAAAACCUAGGGCUCAACCCUGGGCUUGCAGCCGAUACGGGCAAGCUAGAAUUCGGUAGGGGAGACUGGAAUUCCUGGUGUAGCGGUGAAAUGCGCAGAUAUCAGGAGGAACACCGGUGGCGAAGGCGGGUCUCUGGGCCGAUAUUGACGCUGAGGAGCGAAAGCGUGGGGAGCGAACAGG
rnacentral:rRNA from 1 species